rnacentral:misc_RNA from 1 species
GCAAACUUGGUCAUUUAGAGGAAGUAAAAGUCGUAACAAGGUUUCCGUAGGUGAACCUGCGGAAGGAUCAUUAUCGUACAACGAGAGGUGUGCCGGGGCUGUCGCUGACCCUUUUAAAGUCGUGCACGCCUCGAGCACUCUCACCCAUGUCCAUCACACCCUUGUGCAUCACCGCGUGGGCUCCGUUAAAAAAAAAGGGGCCUGCGUUUUUCUUACAUGGACGCCAGUCGUAGGAUGUUCAUUAUGUGAUUAGUACAUGAUCAAUACAACUUUCAACAACGGAUCUCUUGGCUCUCGCAUCGAUGAAGAACGCAGC